UACAGAGGGUGCGAGCGUUAAUCGGAAUUACUUGGCGUAAAGCGCACGUAGGUGGCGACGUAAGUCGGGUGUGAAAGCCCCGGGCUCAACCUGGGAAUUGCAUUCGAGACUGCAUUGCUGGAGUACGGAAGAGGAAGGCGGAAUUCCCGGUGUAGCGGUGAAAUGCGUAGAUAUCGGGAGGAACAUCAGUGGCGAAGGCGGCCUUCUGGUCCAGUACUGACACUCAAGUGCGAAAGCGUGGGGAGCAAACAGG
rnacentral:rRNA from 1 species